GGGUUGCUUGGGAAUGCAGCCCAAAAUUGGUGGUAGACUCCAUCUAAAGCUAAAUACUGGCACGAGACCGAUAGCGAACAAGUACCGUGAGGGAAAGAUGAAAAGAACUUUGAAAAGAGAGUUAAAAAGUGCGUGAAACCGUUAGAGGGGAAGCGGAUGAAGUUAGCAAUGCCCCCGCGAGACUCAGGUGGAUGGCAUACCUCUGGAUGCGACGCGUGGCUGACGGAUCCGAAUGGACUGUCGUUACGUGGCCGUUCCAGCCAGCCGCCGCACUUCUCGUGCCGGGGCGCGUCAACAACUGCUGGACGACAGGGGCUAGACGGCACUYGCAGCGAAAGGUAGGCGUCUUACUAUGACUCGGCUACUUUGCGGUGGUCGAGGAGAUGCUGUUAUAGACGCUGUUGUGUCCCAGCUCCAGUCUGGCAGAGGCUAGCUAGCGGUGUGUGCUCGCAACUUCGGUCGUGGGCUGGCAUCCUGCUGCGUGUUCUUGUAGUCGUCAGCUGUGCACUGCUUGCAGUUCACUUCAGACGGUGAAAAGGCGCGUGCAGUGUAUGCACACUAUGUGCACCAUGGUUGUUGGCGGCCAUAUGGCUUCUUCCGACCCGUCUUGAAACACGGACCAAGGAGUCUAACAUGUGCGCGAGUCUUGGGGUGACCGAAACCCAGAGGCACAAUGAAAGUGAAGGCCGCCGUGCAAAGGCACUGCUCUCGUGGCUGGUGUACUAGCCGGUGGCUUAGGUGAGAUCUCUGCUUGCCACCUCGUGGCUGGCAGUGGCGCAUCAUCGACCGACCURUUCUACUCCUAGAAAGGUUUGAGUAA
rnacentral:rRNA from 1 species